GUGCUCGCUUCAGCAGCACAUAUACUAAAAUUGGAACGAUACAGAGAUUAGCAUGGCCCCUGCACAAGGAUGGUUAUAAACCAAUGUUACUGCAAUAAACAAAAAAUUA